AUUGAACGCUGGCGGCAGGCUUAACACAUGCAAGUCGAGCGGGGUGAUGGUGCUUGCACUAUCACUUAGCGGCGGACGGGUGAGUAAUGCUUAGGAAUCUGCCUAUUAGUGGGGGACAACAUCUCGAAAGGGAUGCUAAUACCGCAUACGUCCUACGGGAGAAAGCAGGGGAUCACUUGUGACCUUGCGCUAAUAGAUGAGCCUAAGUCGGAUUAGCUAGUUGGUGGGGUAAAGGCCUACCAAGGCGACGAUCUGUAGCGGGUCUGAGAGGAUGAUCCGCCACACUGGGACUGAGACACGGCCCAGACUCCUACGGGAGGCAGCAGUGGGGAAUAUUGGACAAUGGGGGGAACCCUGAUCCAGCCAUGCCGCGUGUGUGAAGAAGGCCUUAUGGUUGUAAAGCACUUUAGCGAGGAGGAGGCUCUUUUGGUUAAUACCCAAGAUGAGUGGACGUUACUCGCAGAAUAAGCACCGGCUAACUCUGUGCCAGCAGCCGCCGUAA
rnacentral:rRNA from 1 species